UGGCUCCCACGGGGCGCAGCAGUGAGGAAUAUUGGUCAAUGGGCGCGAGCCUGAACCAGCCAAGUCGCGUGAGGGAAGACGGUCCUAUGGAUUGUAAACCUCUUUUGUCGGGGAGCAAAAGACGCCACGUGUGGCGUUCCGAGAGUACCCGAAGAAAAAGCAUAGGCUAACUCCGUGCCAGCAGCCGCGGUAAUACGGAGGAUGCGAGCGUUAUCCGGAUUUAUUGGGUUUAAAGGGUGCGCAGGCGGAAGAUCAAGUCAGCGGUAAAAUUGAGAGGCUCAACCUCGUCGAG
rnacentral:rRNA from 1 species